GUUAAUUAUUGUUUUUGGACUGCAUUACGUGGCUGUUUUAUCUUUAUUUUCUAUUGUUUCAGUUUUUUAUUUGAGUCAAUAAGUGGUUCCUACAUCUUAGGAGAGAAAGUAGCUUUUAUUAUCCCACAUUCCUAAUUCUAUGGUGAUGUGGUUGUGUUAUGUUUUGAUAUUUUGAACUUACUAUUUAGUGUAUUGCUGCAGUCAUUAAUAAACUGAAUUUCCCUAUUUCAUCUCAGUAUUA
rnacentral:lncRNA from 1 species